GUCCACGCCGUAAACGAUGAGUGCUAGGUGCUGUGGGUAUUGACCCCUGCGGUGCCGCAGCUAACGCGUUAAGCACUCCGCCUGGGGAGUACGGCCGCAAGGCUAAAACUCAAAGGAAUUGACGGGGGCCCGCACAAGCGGUGGAGCAUGUGGUUCAAUUCGACGCAACGCGCAGAACCUUACCUGGGUUAAAUCCACUCGAACUUGGCAGAGAUGCCUUGGUGCCUUUCGGGGAACGAGUGAGAAGGUGCUGCAUGGCUGUCGU
rnacentral:rRNA from 1 species